UAAAAUAUAAAUAAAGCAUAAAAUGGAUGCCUUGACUCGAAUAUCCGAAGAAGGACGUGCAAAUCUGCGAUAAGCCUAGAGGAGUUGAUAAGAUACGUUAAAACUCUAGGAUUUCCGAAUGGGGGAACCCAAUAUAGGUAAUCUAUAUAAUCCUAAAUAAUAGGAAGGACACAUUGAGAAUUGAAAUAUCUAAGUAACAAUGGAAAAGAAAUCAAAAGAGAUUCCCCUAGUAGUGACGAGCGAAGAGGGAGAAGCCCAAACCGUUAAAUAUGUAUAGGUAGCUUUUGUAUUAGCGGUGUUGAAGGAAUAAUAUACAGAGAGGCUAAUAAUCUGGAUAUUUACUAUAAUAAAUAAAAGAAAGAGCUGAGAAACUCUGCCAUAGAAGGUUAAAGCCCUGUAAAUUAAAUUUAAUUUAAGAAAUAUGUAUUAUAUCCUGAGUAGGUUCAGACACGAGAAAUCUGGAUUGAAACAGGGGAGACCACUCUCCAAGGCUAAAAAGUAUUCGAGAUCGAUAGCGAACAAGUACCAUGAGGGAAAGGUGAAAAGAACCCCAGAAGGGGAGUGAAAUAGAACCUGAAAUUUUAUGCUGAUAAAGAGAUGGAGCCUACGGGUGACAUCGUACUUUUUGUAGAACGGACCAACGAGUUAGUGUGUUUGGCAAGGUUAAGGGAGGAUAACCCGAAGCCGAAGUGAAAGCGAGCCUGAAGAGGGCAUAAGUCAAAUAUACUAGACCCGAAACUGGGUGAGCUUCCCAUGAGCAGGCUGAAGUAUAGGUAAAACUGUAUGGAGGGCCGAACCAAUUGGAGCUGCAAGUCCUUUGGAUGACUUGUGGGAAGGAGUGAAAAGCUAAUCGAACCCAGAGAUAGCUGGUUCUCCGCGAAAUAGCUUUAGGGCUAGCCUUGGUGAACUAUUAUAUAGGGGUAGAGCUCUGAUUGGGCUAGCGGGCUUCACGGCUUAGUCAACCCAGACAAACUUCGAAUACUAUAUAAAUUACACCAGGAGUCAGACGGUGAGAGAUAAGUCCCAUCGUCAAAAGGGAAACAGCCCAGAUUACUAUCUAAGGUCCCUAAUUAACAACUAAGUGGCAAAGGAUGUGGGGUUGCUGAGACAACCAGGAGGUUGGCUUAGAAGCAGCCAUUCCUUAAAAGAGUGCGUAAUAGCUCACUGGUCAAGCGACCCUGCGCCGAAAAUACAACGGGGCUCAAGUUGUUAACCGAAGAUGUAAAAUCGUAAGAUUGGUAGCGGAGCGUUCUGUAAGCCGCAGAAGGUGAGGGGUAACCCGAGCUGGAGGUAUCAGAAGCGAAAAUGUUGGUAUGAGUAACGAGAGGGAAAUGAAAACAUUCCCCAUCGGAAACCCAAGGUUUCCUACGCAACGGCAGUCGUCGUAGGGUUAGUCGGUCCUAAGGUGAAGCUGAAAGGCAAAGCUGAUGGAUACCAGGUUAAUAUUCCUGGACUACUUAUAUAACUGAAGGGGGGACAUAUUUGGAUAUAAGAGAUACUUAAUUACUUGUAUUACGAAAGCGAAACUAGGGAUAUAGGCAAAUCCGUAUUCCUGUUAAAGUUGAGCUAAGUUAAGUUGAUGGAAGCCAUUAUUGGUGGAAAGAUUCUGCUCUUACUAUAUUCAGGUAUCGAGAAAAGCCUCUAAGGGUUAAUUGUAUAAGUAACCGUACCGCAAUCAAACACAUGUGGGUUGGUGGAGAACACCAAGAUGAACGAGAAAACUAUGCUUAAGGAACUCGGCAAAACAGCGGUCGUAACUUCGGGAUAAGACCUGCCUAGAGUGUAAUUUACAAACUAGGCCGCAGCGAAAGAACUCAGGCGACUGUUUACCAAAAACACAGCUCUCUGCAAACUCGUAAGAGGAAGUAUAGGGGGUGAUGCCUGCCCAGUGUCAGAAGGUUACAUGGAUGUGUGAGAGCAUUGAAAUCAAGCCCUGAUGAACGGCGGCCGUAACUAUAACGGUCCUAAGGUAGCGAAAUUCCUUGUCGGGUAAGUUCCGACCCGCACGAAUGGCGUAACGAUGGCCACACUGUCUCCUCCCGAGACUCAGCGAAGUUG
rnacentral:rRNA from 1 species